rnacentral:rRNA from 1 species
UACGAAGGGGGCUAGCGUUGUUCGGAAUCACUGGGCGUAAAGGGCGCGUAGGCGGCUUUAUAAGUCGGGGGUGAAAGCCUGUGGCUCAACCACAGAAUUGCCUUCGAUACUGUAGAGCUUGAGACCGGAAGAGGUAAGUGGAACUGCGAGUGUAAAGGUGAAAUUCGUAGAUAUUCGCAAGAACACCAGUGGCGAAGGCGGCUUACUGGUCCGGUUCUGACGCUGAGGCGCGAAAGCGUGGGGAGCAAACAGG